GCUACAUUCCUAGAAGUGGGAUUACUGGGUCAAGUGGGAGUUCCAUUUUUAAUAUUUUAAGGAAACGCCAUACCGUUUUCCACAGUGGCUGGACCAGUCUACAUUCCCACCAGC